GCUAAUACCGGAUAACAACAGAUGAUGCCUAUCAACUGUUUAAAAGAAUGGUUCUGCUAUCACUCUUGGAUGGACCUGCGGUGCAUUAGCUAGUUGGUAGGGUAACGGCCUACCAAGGCGAUGAUGCAUAGCCGAGUUGAGAGACUGAUCGGCCACAUUGGGACUGAGACACGGCCCAAACUCCUACGGGAGGCAGCAGA
rnacentral:rRNA from 1 species